rnacentral:lncRNA from 1 species
UUGAGGGAGGAAAAACUUGCAAGAAGGUUAAGAGUGUUUGUGAGAGUGAAAAGUGUACAAUGUGUGAAGAGAAGAGUUUAAAUACCCAAAUUAGGGCACAUGCAAAACGACACACAUAAAUGAGUUUAGCACAAAAACCAAGUACGCACGUUAGAGGGAGAAUGAUUACAGCUCAUAAAUGAUGUCUAAUCCCAACAUCAGCAUACUGCUCGAGGGGAUCUCAAG